GAUGAAGAACGCAGUGAAAUGCGAUAAGUAAUGUGAAUUGCAGAAUUCAGUGAAUCAUCGAAUCUUUGAACGCAUCUUGCGCUCCUUGGUAUUCUGAGGAGCAUGCCUGUUUGAGUGUCAUUAAAUUCUCAACCGCACUGACUUUGAAUUGGUGUGGCUUGGAUUUGGGGGGAAAAUUGUUGUGGGCUUUUUUGUAUAGUCUGCUCCCCUGAAAUUGAUUAGCGGUACCUUUGUGGAACUGUCUACAGGUGUGAUAAAUAUCUACAUCCUAGACAUCUGCUGGAAUGCUGCUUUCUAAACCUUACUUGUAUUGACAAUCUUGACCUCAAAUCAGGUAGGACUACCCGCUGAACUUAAGCAUAUCAAUAAGCGGAGGA
rnacentral:misc_RNA from 1 species